CGGACGCUGGAGGAGAAGGCACGGAUGGACAUGUGGCUGGACGUGGAGGCCAUCAACCUGAAUCCACUGGUCUUCCCCAUCGUCUUCAACCUCUUCGUCCUGCCGGGCCAAGGCGUCGCCGGCAACAUGGCCGAGGCUCAGGCCUCUGCCGAGAAGCUCGACAAAGUGCUCGAAGUCCACGAGCGGCAGCUCUCCAAGACCAAGUACCUGGCCGGCGACGAGUUCACGCUGGCCGACCUGACCCACAUCCCGGCCCUGCGCUACGUGGUCGAGAAUUGCGGCAUGCCCCACCUUAUCAGCAACAAGA
rnacentral:lncRNA from 1 species